CUGGACAAACAGUGAAUGAUUUUGUUGAGUUUGUUUGUUUCAGAGUCAGAGAGCCGUGUCUCUCUACAGUCAGAGGUUUUUGUACGGCAGCUCAAUGAGUUUGUAUCACUGUGGUUGACUUUUGGUGGAGGAACCAGACUGGAUGUUAACUUGGGUCGAGUCCCCCCCUCCCUGACCGUGCUGGCGCCCUCUAGUGAGGAGCUGCAGCAGGGGAAGGCUACAGUCAUGUGUGUGGCCAACAAGGGCUUCCCCUCAGACUGGAGGCUGUCCUGGAAGGUGGAUGGAAGAAGCAGCAGUGGAGAGGAGAGCAGGAGCCCCGGGGCGCUGCAGAAUGACGGCCACUACAGCUGGAGCAGCACCCUGAGGCUCCCUGCAGACCAGUGGGAGAAGGUGGGCUCUGUGACCUGUGAGGCCACCCAGGGCUCCCACACUCCACUCUCAGAGACUCUGAUGACAGACCAGUGUUCCCAGUCCUGAGCUGACUCACUGGGACUCUGAUACUCUCUUUGUCCUCUUGGUCUGAUUAUUCUCUUUCUCUUUCUCUUUUUGUCUUGUUGUAUUGCUGAUGAAUUUAUUAGCCCAAUAAAGAUUUAUUCAAAUAUU